GAAAACUUCAACUUUUCAAAAAUUAAAAAUGUUUGGAAACUUUGAAAUUUUUAGAAUUUCGGAAUUUUUGAACAAUUCAGAUUUUUUUUAAACUUUUGAGACAUUUGAAAUUUUCUGGAAUUUUUUAGUUUUGUAACAUUUGGAAAAUUUUCAGAAUUUUCAGAACUUUUCUGGAAAAAUUUGAUUUUUUUGGAAAUUUUUUAGUUUCGGAAUUUUUCAGAAUUU
ensembl:ncRNA Y77E11A.17 ncRNA